ACUCAAAUGAAUUGACGGGAACCCGCACAAGCGGUGGAGCAUGUGGUUCAAUUCGACGAUAAGCGAGGAACCUUACCAGGUCUUGACAUUCAGCUGCAUCUUUCCUGAAAGGGAGAGAGCCUUCGAGGGUGCUGAACAGGUGCUGCACGGCUGUCGUCAGCUCGUGUCGUGAGAUGUCGGGUUAAGUCCUCUAACGAGCGCAACCCCUAUGACAUGUUAAAAUAUUCAUGUCAGACUGCCCCCUUGAAGGGGGAGGAAGGAAGGGAUGACGUCAAGUCAGCGUGGUCCUUUGAUGACCUGGGCUACACACGUGCUACAAUGGGGUGCAACAAUGGGUUGCCAAGUCGCAAGACGGAGCUAAUCUCACCAAACCACCCCCCAGUUCGGAUUGCGGGCUGCAACUCGCCCGCAUGAAGCCGGAAUCGCUAGUAACCGCGCAUCAGCCUCGGUGCGGUGAAUACGUUCUCGGGUUUUGUACACACCGCCCGU
rnacentral:rRNA from 1 species